CCCGCCGCCCGCCGGGUGCUUUCUGCUGCGGGCGGGAGUCCUAUUUUGCAAAUAGGUUUCCUCGGACAACUGCUGCUGAUCUUUGUCACUCAGCCAGCCAAGUGGGGGCGAUUCUGAGUAAUGCAGGCUACCAGCAUGGCUGGGGCUGAAAGCGAAAGGGACACGCAGGAUACAUGGGGCCCUGAAUCCUCUCUGCCAGGCUGGUUGCCUUCCUGCUAUUUGUCUGGUCCUUCCGUUUUUUUAAUAAUCCUUCUACAAGGAUCUUCCGAUAAAUCCCCUGUAAAAUUCAGUUACAGGAGGAAAGUGGGUUUCUUCUGACAAGUGAAAAAGGGCCAAGGAGGAGAGAGAGGAGCCUGGAGCCCUGAUGUCUCUGCCAGGAGCCUGAGCUUUUAGAGCUAGUCUUGGGCAAGACCCAGAAGCAAGCAACCAACAUCAAGAGCCCAGUGCCCCUCCCAGCAUGGCCAACUGACUGGUAACCCUGGGCCUGUGCUAAUACAGUGGCCACCAGCAGCAUGUGGCUCUUGAGCACUUGCACGGAGGAUCAUUGUUUCUGUUUUACAGCUCUGUCCGGGAGCUUGUCUUCACUGCACAGUUGAUCUACUAUGUGUCAAGCUCUGGUCUUCCAAUGCCAAAGAGAGAAGACUGCGAUGUACUCUUCUUAUCAAAGAGCUCACAGAAAAGGGAACAUUCUGGCCUAGCUGGGGAUCCUUUGAGCUGUCAGACCUCACAGGGUGAACAGGCUAUGUCUUUACCAGAAGACAGAGUGGCAGGAUUUUUUACAAAUCCAAACUAUGGAUCCAACAGCAAUGGCCUGAAGAAAAUGAAACAAAAAGAACGGUACUGAACGUGACGGAAGCAUGAGGUCUCGUCAAGAAUCCAUCUGUAACUUAAGGUUUCAAUGUGUAAAGAAUGAGAUUCAGGAGCGCCUGGGUGGCUCAGUCAGUUGGCAUUGGGUCUCCUCACCAGGGAUCGCACUGCAUUCUGGGUAUCGCCUCACACCAGACCUGGACACGACCUCUAUCAUUGAAGAGAAAAGCAACCAUGAUAUCCUGGCAUCUACAAAAGACGUCCAUUCAUGCAAACAUUCCCCACCUCAUCUGAUACGUAUUAUGAAGUGCUAUGCAUUAGAUCCUGUGCUUGGCACAGACAUGCACAUUCUUAUAAACUGUCCGUGGAAUCUGAGUUCAAACCUCAGCCUCUUUCAGUCCUAUUGAUUUGAUCUUGUGUGUGUUAGCCUCUGUUCCUCAGAUCCAGUUCCUUCUUUCUAAUUCCCUAUCUCAGCCAUGACAUCACCAUCAUCUUCCUGUCCCCGUUCAGAACCCUAGAAAUGAUUUUAUUCACCUCGCUAACCCUCUCUGUAAUGUCCAAUCAACCCCCAGUGAUUUAACUCCUACAUAUCUCUUUGUCAUUAGCCUCAUCUCUAAUCCGUUCCACAGGUAUUUUUUGAGGAGUCUAUGUCCCAGGCUCUCUGCUGGACAUGAGGUUACCUGUCCCCAAGGAGUU